UUUUCCAAAAUUCCCCCUCUAGUAUCCAAUAUUCAACCCGCAGUUCUCAAGCACACAGAAGCACGGGCUCUCCUCACCUCCCGAUCCCAGCCGCCAGGAGGCGACCGAUCCCGGCGACGCUCGAUCCGGUGCCGCGAGCUAGGGUUCGAUCCGCCACCUCUCAGGCCUCCCCGUCGGUGGCGCACCGACGCUUCGGUCACCCCUCAUCUCCUCCCCUUCCCUCCUCUGCUCUUGCCCCCUUCUCCUCCACUCAAUUUUUUUUCGACCGCCUCAAUUCGCUCGAUCCGCCCCUCCUGAGCGGCGGCUGCAGGCGACGUGGUGCCAUGCCACUCCUCUCUCCUCAAGGCGCCGCCAUCCCGAGACGCGCUGAUCUGGUGCCGCUGGAGGUGACCGCCGUUGUCGACCUGGCAGGCUCAACAGUCGCCGCUCAAGCCCCAAUCGCGGGCAAGUGCCGCCACCCCAACGGCACCGAUGGGGUCUGGGAGGUAGAUGUCAGGGACAGUGGAGAUGACGGACAAUCCACGGACGCCAGUCGAAGGCCUCGAGAAGGACGGCUCAGCCGGACUCAAGAGCAGCUGGACUAGAGGACACCAUCGUCUUCACAUCGCGUAGGUGUAUUGAAUUUGAUGAGCGAAGGGCAUGGAGCCGAGAAGGUUGGAUCGUGCGGUUGUUAGAAUCCUCGCAGUGUGUUGAACCUCCCAAUGGAGUUGCUGUGUUCGGCAACGGCCAUGUGACGGACAGAGCGAGAGGCGCAUCAUCAUGGCCGGACGCAACAAGGGAUGGUACCUGAGGCACAACCGCUACGGUGCUGAGAAGGAGGCGGCUGUGGCACCCGACCAAUGCUGGACUCAGCUUUGAUGCUCAAUUAGGGCGGCCACACACAUGACUCUGCCCAAGGUUCAACUGCAGUUGGCUCGGAUAAAAAGGAUUGCAACAUUGGUAGUACUGUUGAUAGGAUGGUUAGUUUUGGAAGGGGAAUGGUAGUAUUCGCAGAGAUUGAAAACAAGGCUGCAGUGCAAACACUCUUGCUCAACCAAUUUAAGCUCAGUGUCAGCUCUUUGUGCUCUUUCCUUCUUGCUGAACCAAUGUUUCCUCAUGAGGUGAGCAAUGUUUCCUUGGGACACGGUGAAAAUUCUAGAGGACACGAGUGGUGUCCCUUCAAAUGCAUGUAGCUUCUAAUAUGUAUUAUUUAACCUUAGUGAUGGUAUUUAUAGCAGACCUAAAAUUUCAACAACUCUGCUGUAAGUGCAUAGGUGGGUCUGUUUAUGGAUGUGACAAUUUAGCAACUGAAAUGUUGAAUAGGUUGUUGUGAUUUUUUUUUACAGCUGUUAAUGCAUUGAACUUUUUUUGUUGUUGUGCAUUUAAUUUUGGUGGUAAAGAUUUUGCGAUCCAGCCCCAUGAUGCCUUGAGAAGGCUGAGAUCUGCCAUCGUGCUCUUCUCAGUUGCUAACGAGACCUUCUGAUGCAUGCAGUCACCUUUGUUCCCGGUAUUAUAGUCAUGAAGAAGCUUUCCUUUACAUUUUAAUUUGCCUAACCAGCCCCAGAAGCAUCCAAUCUCGCCUCUGACGCAUUGUCGGAACACCUUCCGCCGUCCGCAUGUGCUCCACACUUCGCCGGAACUUCUUCUGCAGGUUUUCCAUUUGAGGUCCAAAGAAAUAAGUUCUACAAGUGCAACCUUAUGUCUGUAUGAGGUGUACUGCUCUAAAUUGCUUAAGCGAUCAGGUGUCCUGCUAUAUGGACCUCCAGGCACUGGGAAGACAUUACUUGCGAAAGCAGUAGCAACUGAGUGGUCAUUAAACUUUCUUAGCGUAAAAGGUCCAGAACUGAUAAACAUGUAUGUUGGAGAGUCAGAGAGGAAUAUCAGGGACAUCUUUGAGAAGGCUAGAUCAGCACGCCCAUGAGUAAUUUUCUUCGAUGAGCUUGAUUCCCUUGCUCCUGCACGAGGGUCCUCUGCACAUUCUGGAGAUGUGAUGGAUAUUCUGGAGAUAUAAUUAACGUCAUCAAUGAGCACAAAUGCCCGACGGAGAUGCAUAUGCUUGGCAUUCUAUCAGUAAACAUACACGUGCGCUGGCUUGCAGUACUACAUUUUGUGAUUGUGUAGUAUCCACACCACUACUAAUGCUUAUGUCCAUUGCCUUGCCGUGUAAUUGUGUCAUAUGCACACCAAUACUAAUGCUCUAUGCUCUCGCCUGAGAGCACGUGCUGUGCUUUGUAUCAUCUAAAAAAUGUAAACUCUGUAAUUAGAAACAGACUUUAGCACUGUGAUCCAGUAUGUAUUGAGUAGUGGAUUAAUGUA